UGGGUCGGCCGGACGGUCGCGUGGCGGGAGACCGCACCGAGGAACGUCCGGGCUCCGCAGGGCAGGGCGGUGGGUAACACCCACCCGGAGUGAUCCGCGAGACAGUGCCACAGAGAGCAGACCGCCCCGGUUCACCGGGGUAAGGGUGAAAGGGUGGUGUAAGAGACCACCGGGGUCGUGGUGACGCGACCCGCACGGUAAACCUCGCCCGGAGCAAGGCCAGACAGGGGAUGACGACGCGGCCCGCCGAGUCCCCGGGUAGGCCGCUGGAGCGGCACGGCAACGUGUCGCCGAGAGAGAUGACCGUCGAAGGGACUCCGGUCCCGGAACAGAACCCGGCGUACAGGCCGGCCCAUUCG
rnacentral:RNase_P_RNA from 1 species